rnacentral:rRNA from 1 species
CUACGGGAUGCUGCAGUGAGGAAUAUUGCACAAUGGGGGGAACCCUGAUGCAGCAACGCCGCGUGGAGGAUGACGCAUUUCGGUGUGUAAACUCCUUUUAUAUGUCAAGAAAAUGACGGUAGCAUAUGAAUAGGCACCGGCUAACUCCGUGCCAGCAGCCGCGGUAAUACGGAGGGUGCAAGCGUUACUCGGAAUCACUGGGCGUAAAGGACGCGUAGGCGGGUUGGAAAGUCAGGUGUGAAAUCCUACAGCUUAACUGUAGAACUGCACUUGAAACUUCUAAUCUAGAGUAUGGGAGGGGGAGAUGGAAUUAGUGGUGUAGGGGUAACAUCCGUAGAUAUCACUAGGAAUACCUAAAGCGAAGGCGAUCUCCUGGAACAUUACUGACGCUAAGGCGUGAAAGCGUGGGGAGCAAACAGGAUUAGAUACCCCUGUAGUC